AUGAUCAUUUUAGGGACAAUUUCUUAGCAAUCCCUUAUAUCUUUCCCAUGCUUCAUACAAUGACUCCCCUGCUUGUUGCUCAAAAUUGGCUAUAGCUUUCUUAAGCUU